CCCUUCCACACUGUGGAAGCUUUGUUCUUUCACUCUUUGCAAUAAAUCUUGCUACUGUUCACUCUUUGGGUCCACACUGCUUUUAUGAGCUAUAACACUCACCGCAAAGGUCUGCAGCUUCACUCCUGAAGCCAGCGAGACCACAAGCCCACUGGGAGGAACGAACAACUCCAGGCGCGCAAUGAACAACUCCAGGCGCGCCGCCUUAAGAGCUGUAACACUCACCGCGAAGGUCUGCAGUUUCACUCCUAAGCCAGCGAGACCACGAACCCACCAGAAGGAAGAAACUCCAAACACAUCUGAACAUUAGAAGGAACAAACUCCAGAUGCGCCACCUUAAGAGCUGUAACACUCACCGCGAGGGUCCACGGCUUCAUUCUUGAAGUCAGUGA
rnacentral:lncRNA from 1 species